UCCAGACUCCUACGGGAGGCAGCAGUGGGGGAUAUUGGACAAUGGGGGAAACCCUGAUCCAGCGACGCCGCGUGAGUGAAGAAGUAUUUCGGUAUGUAAAGCUCUGUCAGCAGGGAAGGAAGAAAUGACGGUACCUGACCAAGAAGCCCCGGCUAACUACGUGCCAGCAGCCGCGGUAAUACGUAGGGGGCAAGCGUUAUCCGGAAUUACUGGGUGUAAAGGGAGCGUAGACGGUGAUGCAAGUCUGGAGUGAAAGCCCGUGGCUUAACCGCGGAACGGCUUUGGAAACUGUGGAACUGGAGUGCUGGAGAGGCAAGCGGAAUUCCUAGUGUAGCGGUGAAAUGCGUAGAUAUUAGGAGGAACACCAGUGGCGAAGGCGGCUUGCUGGACAGUAACUGACGUUGAGGCUCGAAAGCGUGGGGAGCGAACAGGAUUAGAUACCCUCGUAC
rnacentral:rRNA from 1 species